rnacentral:rRNA from 1 species
UACAGGGGGGGCAAGCGUUGUUCGGAAUUACUGGGCGUAAAGGGCUCGUAGGUGGCCGACUAAGUCAGACGUGAAAUCCCUCAGCUUAACUGGGGAACUGCGUCUGAUACUGGAUGGCUUGAGUUUGGGAGAGGGAUGCGGAAUUCCAGGUGUAGCGGUGAAAUGCGUAGAUAUCUGGAGGAACACCGGUGGCGAAGGCAGCUACCUGGACCAACACUGACACUGAGGCACGAAAGCGUGGGGAGCAAACAGG